rnacentral:tRNA from 1 species
GCCCAGGUGGCGGAAUUGGCAGACGCGCUAGGUUGAGGGCCUAGUGAGGUUAAUACCUCGUGGAGGUUCAAAUCCUCUCCUGGGCA